rnacentral:rRNA from 1 species
UACGUAGGGUGCAAGCGUUGCUCGGAAUCACUGGGCGUAAAGCGCACGUAGGCGGAUUGCUAAGUCAGGGGUGAAAUCCUGGAGCUCAACUCCAGAACUGCCUUUGAUACUGGUGAUCUUGAGUCCGGGAGAGGUGAGUGGAACUGCGAGUGUAGAGGUGAAAUUCGUAGAUAUUCGCAAGAACACCAGUGGCGAAGGCGGCUCACUGGCCCGGUACUGACGCUGAGGUGCGAAAGCGUGGGGAGCAAACAGG